GAACAACCUGACCUUUCUUGGGGAUUCUGACCAAUCUGCAGUGGAAGACGGCUAAUAUCUUUCAGGAUUUUCCAUGGUUAAGGACAGAAACCAGUUUCUACCUCCCACCAGCUAAAGGGCCUUUUUUGCUGGUCCACACCAGGGACAGGAUUCCUGCCUGGCUCUCUGUUAAUGCCCAGUAAAACCCACCUAGGCAAAACAUCUGGCUUCUCUAAAGAUGGAGUGAAAAUUGGCCCCUGGGAGAAGAAGAUUACAGGAGGACAUUAAACCUUUUGCUUUCCUACACCUACUCAGGUUUUACUUCAAGUUUGCACAAAAUCCUCGGUCCUGUCCUAGCCAUGUCUACCCAACCCCACCAUUUCAACAGAGUUUUGAACAAAAGAGAAGAAACGAAGACCUGGGAAUUUCCUUGUUUUUCAUGGCUGAUUUCUUAUACGUAUUUUAUAUAAUUAACUCACAAGGAAAGCUGAAAAUCUUAUAUCAAUAUGAAACUACAGUACUGGGCUGUAGGACACCUGGAAAUCAAAUCAGUAAUUACUAACACAGAGAUAGAUUGUACAUUCCCUGCUGGAAUUUACCCACAUUCUCAUUCAACAGCAACAAUAAAAUUAUGGCAGUGGUGAUCAGAAACAAAUUUUCAGAUUGCAACCUGUGUUGCUUGCCUAAUGUUCUGCCAAAUGCAGCCCAUCAGCACUUUUAAUUUAGAGUGAAAAACUGAGCAGAAAACAGAAGAAAAUGGAGAGAGGAUUUGAGGGGUUACUCCAUGGCUCAGCAGCAACUGCUGCAAAAGCCAUGUCUUGUGCAUGUGUUGGGAGUCAAUGCAGCAUCUGCAUUGGUUCCCCCUUCACUUCAAGGGAGUGGAGGCUUGAGAUGGGUGGUUGAGAACAAGUUGCUUGCAGAAACUCAUGAACUUUCCAUUAGGUGCACAUCUAUUAAGUGCACCAGAAAUUUUGAGUUCCAGACUGGAACUAAGUCACUCCUUGGUAC